CAGUUCAUUAAGGUCGAUGGAGAUGGAUUCAGACAACCAUAGAAGUUCUCAGUUUUUGGACUUCGGCAUGUCACUCGCACUGCUGGAGGAGCUAUCUUGAAGACCUAGAGAUGAAGAAUACCUACAUGAAGAACUAUUUUCAGCAUCUUCAAUUCAAGUUCUGUUGCGACAUCGUUAGAAUCAUCAGAUCUUUCAACAUUGCUGGUCCUGUGAUGAUCUAGGGACUUACUUUGGGAUUCUUGUUUGCUUGAAAUCUGGGAAGUGGAUGCAUGUUGUGCUGAUUGAGGCUCCAUUGGAGGGUUGGGAGGAGUUGGAUAAGGGAUGAAAGUCGAACAGGGAUUAGGAAUGGUACCACGAUUCUGAUUCCCAAAGAAGGGAAACGGCUGCAGAGAUGCAUGAAUAGGAAUUGGGCCUGGAGUGACAGGUACAGGAACUGGAUAUGAAUAAGGCAGACCCAUUACAACAGAAGGAUCGAUGGCAGCCCGUGGGAACAUAACCCUGAGUCUUUGCUGAUGCUGAACAUUCAAACUCUCAAUGUCAGAUUUUAAUGAUGCCUUCUCUUCUCUGAGCUCAUUCUUCUCCUGUGUUAGCUGUAUAUAGUGAAAAACGAGGGAUAAUAUCAGCAUAAAUGGGCUUCACAACCUUGAGGUAACAAGAUGAUAACAUCACCUCACGUGCUUCUUCAGUAAGUGCUGCACACUCAGCUUUCAGUCUGCUGACUUCAGCAGUUAAAUCCUUCAGCUCUUGGACUGUGUCUGUAAGGAUGGUUGCCUUGUCAUUCUUCGGCCUAUCUGGAUCUGCAUUUUGAAUGUAAUUUGUAAACAUUUAAAGUUGAAGCAAUUUAUAAUCACCAGAGUAAGAAGUCCAGUGAAAAGUAAAUGCUCGAGCAGCAGGACGCAUUGACAGCCAAGUUAAAUACAAAAGCUCUCAAGUCAGAAUCAAUUCCACUUUGACAAGUAUGGAUUAGCAAAAUCAAAUCAUAGCAAGUGCACGUGUAACUGGGGCCUGUCUAAAGUCGAUAUAUACCACAAUCAACAGAAAGUCUUCGGCUGAAAAUUAGUAACCACUUACUAAAACUAUAUCAUUUCAAAACUUUGUAUUUUUUGCCUUUCAGUCUUUUAUCGAGGCUUCAGUCUACCGUUGGAAAGGAGAAGAUAUAUUUUAGAGCCAUUUGAGUUCCUGCGUGGAAUUUAUAUCUGGUGAGAGAGCUAUAACUCAACUUCUUUUCAACAAAAACUAUAUUGACCUUUUUAUAUGUGAAGUAAGCCAACAGUGUUCUAUAUAAUGAGAAACCAAAACAAGCCAGUUCA